rnacentral:rRNA from 1 species
AGAACGAACGCUGGCGGCAUGCCUAAUACAUGCAAGUCGAACGAACUCUUCGGAGUUAGUGGCGCACGGGUGCGUAACGCGUGGGAAUCUGCCCCUUGGUUCGGAAUAACAGUUGGAAACGACUGCUAAUACCGGAUGAUGACGAAAGUCCAAAGAUUUAUCGCCAAGGGAUGAGCCCGCGUAGGAUUAGCUAGUUGGUGAGGUAAAGGCUCACCAAGGCAACGAUCCUUAGCUGGUCUGAGAGGAUGAUCAGCCACACGUGGACUGAGACACGGCCCAGACU